CAGGAAGGGCAAACAUGGGUGUGGGUGUGAGCUGACAUACUCUGCCCCAUCCGCUGAAAGGGCAGGGGCAGCAGUGGGCCCUGUAACAGGCUAUGUCCUCCUUGGAGCCUGGCUGUGGUGCUCAAGGGCCAGACCUCACCAGAAGGAAGCCAGAUUCCUUGAAGAAGGCGUAAUUACAUAUUCCAAACAAGAAACACAGAAGCUGAGCCCAGACUUGUUGGACCAUAUAUAAGGACACUAUGAAAAUCACUGGGCUCCAUCUGAAGGAGGCAGCCAUCACACUUCAAGUAAGGGCCCCCAAAACACUGUUAGGCUCACAUCUACAGGACACACAACCAAUGUGAAGACCCUUCUCUGGGCAAAAAUGAAAAUGCUGACAAUCACCAAGACUAACCACUGCAGUGAGGUGAAGAAACACUGGAAAUUCACAAGCUUUUCUCUUUACCAGUUCUUUGGGAAAAGAGGGUGCCAGGGUCUCACCUUGCAAGAAAUCAAACAGGCCAAAAGAAAGACCAGUAAACCUGUGAGACUGAGCCUCAAUCACUCUGACACUAACAGUGUUACAAGGAAAGGCCAAACCAUGGACAGGUGCUCCACCUGCUGGAUAACUGACAACAUGCUAGCUAACAAGGCACCGAUGAGCCCCAGUGGCUGGCAGGGGCCUUGGAAUGACACUGGGAGACCUCCCUGGAGACAGGAACCUCCCAGCAUAUAGUUAUUUUACAAAGAUUCACUCAAAAACGAAGCGUAAUGGAACCCAGGACGGCGUCUUUAGCAGCAGAAGAAAGCUGAGCAGUGGGAUGUCGUGCACUGUGCAAGGAAUGGCUCUGUGUGCUGCUCUCUGGGGAGCAGAAAGAGCAGGAACAGGGAGAAGGAGGAAGAACUUGCUAUGCACAGGAUAUGCAGGGUCUAGACAGUCAAUGGUUGGGACAUGGACACAUAGGAGGAAAGAGAGCACUGUGGUUUUCCUCUUCCUUCCACCUUCUACUUCUAAAAGGGAUCACACACACACAUACACUGACAGUGUUAGGGUGAUACAGGACAUGGCCAUUCCAAUUCUGACCACCAUUGCUGUCUUCAACCUCACCGGACGACUGUCCCAGAGCCUGGGAUCAGGUGCAGUUCCCCUAGGCCCUGCCUGCCCCUUUUCAAGGCCUCUGAGGAGGAACUUGAAAGACAGAGCAGCCACAGCUGCAAGAUAAUACCUAGAACCAUAAAUUCAGUCUUCUUGCUUCCAAAUAAAGAAACAAAGACUAUUAGAGGGGUGAACUUCAGCUCUGAGCCCAGGAGGCGCCCUUCGCCUUCCUAAAGCCACCUAGCCAGAUUCUGCACUAGACUGAAAGCAGUCCUGGGUCUAGCAAAUCCAAAAAAUUUAAAAUACACUACAUACCCUUUUCCAGUAAAGUGCAGACAGACAAGUCUUUGCCCUUUUCAAGGCUGUAAAGAUUCUAGAAUCACCAGCAUGCCUGCCUCAGUACUUCAGGCCAAAUGCCGCCAGACAGAGGCACACCUUCCCAGCUUCACCUGCAGCAAGUGCAGCUCCAAGGCCUGUCUGACUCACAGCCCACAAGCCACAUUCACCCCAGGUGAGUAAUAAAUGCUCACUUAAAUCAGCAAGGUUUGCUUUGGGGGGAGGUUUAUUUGAUUGCAUGGCUUUUAUACAUGAACUUCAUACAUGACAGUCUAUGUCUGACAUAACGUCAAAAGGUUGGACACUCCUAUAAGUCUACCCAAAGAGACACAAGUACAGGAGCCUCUGGGGACCCUCCUCCACAGAGAACUGGCCUGCAGCCUGGGCCUUCUUCAGGCCCAGACAUGGAAACCCAUGAAAAGCAAAGAUCUAGAGGAAGAGACCAGCUCCUCACAUAUAUGGAUCUACCCCUGUAUCCAGGCCACCUGCUACAGACAGCCUUGUCAAAAAGAACAUUAACUGCCUGGUCUAAACCCAGAUUACUUUAGCUCUGUAACCUAUUCAUGAAUGGCCAGAACCCACAGAUUCCAUGAGCCAUGCCUGCCUCUCCUAAGGGGCCAGUGGAAGAAGUUUUUAAAUGCCGAACCCCAGCACCUUCCUGCUUUCUAAAAGCUCUGCAAAUGACUUAGGAAAACACUCUGGACUGGCUAUAAAACCUUGAACUCUGACCUCCUCCAAACAAGGACAUCACUGCCCUCCUCGAUGUUUAUCCAAAUGCUCCUGUUGCCAGGAUAAAAACAUUUAAAAUUCUGCUAACAGUGAAGGUUUCAACAGAAAAAAAACUAGGGCAAGCAGCCCAAGAAAACUGGAACAGAGAGACAUGCACGAAGUUGCCAUUUUGGCAAAUUAGCUUUGCCAUUUCUCAGAAGGCCUGGGGAGAAUCCAGUCCUAAUGUAAUAAAACAGCUGGACUAAGACUAAUGUUCAAUAAAGACUCCAACUG